UAGGGUGUACUCAGGGGGGACAGAAACCUCCCCUGGGGCAUAAAGCAAUAGCUCUCUUGCUCCUGAUUUUCAGCAUGAAUACAGACUAUGAAAGUGG
rnacentral:ncRNA from 1 species